rnacentral:rRNA from 1 species
UACGGAGGAGGCAAGCGUUAUCCGGAAUUAAUGGGCGUAAAGCGUCCGUAGGUGGUUGGCCAAGUCUGCUGUCAAAGGGUGGGGCUUAACCUCAUAAAGGCAGUGGAAACUGGCGAGCUAGAGUGCGGUAGGGGUAGGCGGCAUUCCCAGUGUAGCGGUGAAAUGCGUAGAGAUUGGGAAGAACAUCGGUGGCGAAAGCGCCCUGCUGGGCCUGCACUGACACUGAGGGACGAAAGCUAGGGGAGCGAAAGGG